UGUUGGAGAAAAGGACCUGUCAAUUUGGAAGGGCUGGCAAAAUCCACGGAGACGUAUUCCAAAGGAGUUAUUUGGAGUAUACAUUCUGCCAGUACCAUUGUGAGAAUAUGGCCAGUGUAGAGCACUUCACCUGCCCAGCAUGUACACCCAACAUGAUAGCUCUUUGCGCAGAUGGCAACAGAAAGCAGUACCGAUUUCGACAGUCAAAAGGGUCAGAGCAACCAUAUUUUGA